AUUACCUGUGUUGGCUAUGUUAGCAGCAUAGUUCUUCAAUGUGUGGCAUAGCUGUCCUUAUAGAAAAACAAAAUGGUUAAUUCAGGUUUGGUUUUUGAAUGAUCUUGUACACCUGGAGGUAUGUUGGGCUAUGUUUCUCACUAUUUACAAAAACCUGUUAUGUGUAAAUACAUCUGAUGCUUACCCAUAUCAUCCCCAGUUCUGUAGAAACAAAUUCAACAAAAGAGGAGAAGCCUGGAAUAGUGGAAUACUUUAAUCGUCACACCAGUACUGUUGUGUGGUUUUCUUUUCUUCUGCCCUGGUUUCUCUAAGCUCACAAUGUGUUUGCAGGGCUGGUCUAGGUCUUCCUUCUUGCCUUUACUGGGCAGAACUAAGAUAAUAGGAAUAAAAAGGGGAAGCAGAACAAAAGGAUGGGCAGGUUCUCCCAGGUAGAAUCGACAGUCCAGUCCAGUGCUCCUGCCACUUCUCUUGGACCUGCUGCUCCCACUGUGUGUGUGUGUGUGUGUGUGUGUUUCUGUGAAUGAGUGUAUGUGCACAUGUAUGUCUGCAUGUGUGUGUGCACAUAUGUCUGUGUGUGCUUGUAUGUGUCUGCAUGCGUGUGCAUGCAUGUGUCUGUGUGGUUUGGACUUGGCGUGUUAUCCCAGGCGGGCCUUGCCAUCCAGAAAAGAAGAAGGCAGUUAGGAAAUGCACUUAACUGCUGCAGGGAAGCUAGAGUUGCUUUGUGGAGCUUGUUUCAAAUGGGUUUUGUUUUGAAUCUACAAGUUCAUUCAAAUUCAAUCACAGCAAAAUUCACAGAUUGUGAUGUCAUGCGGAUUGAAACCAAAAAAGGCUGUAUAGAAUGCUUUCUGCCAGAUUUUACUCAUGGCUUCAGGAAACUCCCCCACCCACCAGUCUUUUUUCUUUUUUCUUUUUUUCCUUUGCAUUGUGAGCCAAGACUUAAGGGCUGUGCCUUACUAAGCCUCACUUCCAUUUACAGAGUUUUCUUUUUUUAACAGCCCUUGGGCCUACGGCCUUGACAUCUGUGCUGCGAUUUCUCUAAGCUCCUAUCACUCUGCUUUGCUUCCGCAUUAAAAAGAGAAUAGAUCCUUCUAAUUGUACAGACACCAACAUUGUCUAGGGCAGGGGGAGGGUUGGGUAGAGAAGGAAUUUAUCAAUCAUGAACCUAGUCCACCUGUUUAUUGUUAUUAAGCUAACUGCAUGGAGAAGACACCCUCAAUCCACAAGGAAGGCCCCUCGGAGGUGACUGUUACUACUGGGCCUUCCUUCCCCAUGACGUGACACUUGCAUUCCUCUGGCCUCCUGGCAGAUGGAAACCUCACUUAUGUCAUCCCUGUGUGGUGGCUUGGACUUUGGUAGUCCAGCACUGUUAUGGGAUGACUUAAGGAAGGGCUGUGCCCUGGGUCUGUUUAAGGGAAGGUGUGGGCCUCGGGCUCUUAGGAUAAGGAAGGAGCAGGAGCUGGCAUGACCUUUCAUUCCUGUGUGUCGGCCAUGCUGGGGCUGUGGCUGGGAGCACACCAGUAUGGCCUUCCUGGACGCAGCCCUCUGUGGACAGUAACUGGACCCUUUUGGUCUAGAUUGGAUUAGAACUAGGAUUACAUUCGAUUCCUUGUGGUGAGUCUUUUUCUAGCUAGAGAAACCUAAACCCACCUUCUCCCAGUGUGAUUCUUGAGUGAUACCAACAUGUAAGAAUGUUAGUUCAAACUGUCAGGCACAGGGAGUGGAAUCUCAGUGUUCCCACGAAUGAAUGGAUAAAUAUAGAAGUGGCAUAGGAGUCAAAUUUACUUAAUUUCUUGUCUCAGUCUAGACCACUGAUGGGCUGAAUUCCUAUGAGUGGGGAUGAGACCCUCAAUCUCCCUGUGCCACUCGGGGGCUCUUCGCCUUGUGCCUUGCCUUGAGGUCAGUGGUGGUUCAAGGAUGAUCUCGACCUCUUGAGAGUCGUGAAUUCCUUCUUCUUGCUGCUGUGACACUGUAUUAUCUCUUAUCACAAUGCUCACUGUUUUGUCUUGUAUGUUUUCAUCCAUGUCCUCUCCCAACGCUUCCUUUCAGAAUGCGAGCUUCUCCAGAGAAGCUGUGGCUUCCCGUGUCUCAGCACCCAGUGCGCUUCCCAGCGCCCAGCACGCUGAUUUGAAACUCUCUCAAUAAGUGUGCCAAUGAAGUUUUGUUGAUAAAUAAUUAAGAAAUAAAUGAGAAUAGUCUCUCUGGUGCACGAGCCUUCCUAUUCGCUCUCAGUGAAUUCUUGGUUUGAAAAUGCAGUGGUGUGGUAGACCAGAAACAAGGUCAGAACUCCAGUACAGAAUAGACAGGUUUGUCUUCUCCUGAGGAAGUGGAUGCCAUGUGUCACUUUGCAGAUGGAUCAAGUGCAGGAGGUAAAAUAACUCCCUGAGCUUCCCAGAUCUUCCAUUCAUCAUUCUUUUUCUUUCCCUUGGAAAACUGAUUUGCACAGAAAUGAGAAGUUUACUCUCUUGCUUUUGGAUCUGUUGCAUGAUCGCAAAGAAAAGAAAUGCCUUACUUGAUAUUUCGACAUUAAACUUUACAAUCUGGAGAAUUUUUCUUCCAGCACCUCGUCCUGGGUAGUUGAGUAUAACGGCCCCCAUAUUUUGACCAGGAACUGAAAUGAACCCCAUCCAGGGCUUGCUUGGGUGUGGAAAGCUUUCAGACUCAUGGGUGGAGCAGAAAUCCUCAUGCUGCACUCCCCCAUGAAGCAGAAGUCACAAUCUGUGUAGAGUCAUGGAGAGGAGGAAGUUGAACUUCACUGUGCUCCGAAAAUAAGACAUUGUGUGGUAGAGUGUGGGCCAGCAGCCUGGGUAAGGCAUGGCCCAGGUAGAGAGCUCAGGAUGACUAGGUGUCUUCC
rnacentral:lncRNA from 10 species